AGCAUCCGUAGCUCGUUUUGUAAGUUUUCGGUUAAAUCCAUGCGCUUAACGUAUGGGCUGCCGGGAAUACUGCAUAACUAGGAAGUGGGAGAGGUAGACGGUACUCGGUAGGAAGGGGUAAAAUCCUUUGAUCUAUUGAUGACCACCUGUGGCGAAGGCGGUCUACCAGAACACGUUCGACGGUGAGGGAUGAAAGCUGGGGGAGCAAACCGGAUUAGAUACCCGGGUAGUCCCAGCUGUAAACUAUGCAAACUCAGUGAUGCAUUGGCUUGUGGCCAAUGCAGUGCUGCAGGGAAGCCGUUAAGUUUGCCGCCUGGGAAGUACGUACGCAAGUAUGAAACUUAAAGGAAUUGGUGGGGGAGCACAAGUU
rnacentral:rRNA from 2 species